rnacentral:rRNA from 1 species
GACGAACGCUGGCGGCGUGCUUAACACAUGCAAGUCGAGCGGUAAGGCCCUUUCGGGGGUACACGAGCGGCGAACGGGUGAGUAACACGUGGGUGACCUGCCCUCAGCUCCGGGAUAAGCCUGGGAAACCGGGUCUAAUACUGGAUAUGACUCCAUGACGCAUGUUGUGGGGUGGAAAGCCUUGUGCGGCUGAGGAUGGGCCCGCGGCCUAUCAGCUUGUUGGUGGGGUGANGGCCUACCAAGGCGACGACGGGUAGCCGGCCUGAGAGGGCGACCGGCCACACUGGGACUGAGACACGGCCCAGACUCCUACGGGAGGCAGCAGUGGGGAAUCUUGCGCAAUGGGCGAAAGCCUGACGCAGCGACGCCGCGUGAGGGAUGACGGCCUCGG